GACGAACGCUGGCGGCGUGCUUAACACAUGCAAGUCGAACGGAAGGGCCCUGCUUUUGUGGGGUGCUCGAGUGGCGAACGGGUGAGUAACACGUGAGUAACCUGCCCUUGACUUUGGGAUAACUUCAGGAAACUGGGGCUAAUACCGGAUAGGAGCUCCUGCUGCAUGGUGGGGGUUGGAAAGUUUCGGCGGUUGGGGAUGGACUCGCGGCUUAUCAGCUUGUUGGUGGGGUAGUGGCUUACCAAGGCUUUGACGGGUAGCCGGCCUGAGAGGGUGACCGGCCACAUUGGGACUGAGAUACGGCCCAGACUCCUACGGGAGGCAGCAGUGGGGAAUAUUGCACAAUGGGCGGAAGCCUGAUGCAGCAACGCCGCGUGCGGGAUGACGGCCUUCGGUUUGUAAACCGCUUUCGCCUGUGACGAAGCGUGAGUGACGGUAAUGGGUAAAGAAGCACCGGCUAACUACGUG
rnacentral:rRNA from 1 species